rnacentral:rRNA from 1 species
CCUACGGGUGACAGCAGUGGGGAAUAUUGGACAAUGGGCGCAACCCUGACCCAGCAACGCCGCGUGAAUGAAGAAGUCUUUCGGGUUGUAAACUUCUUUUAACAGGGAAGAGUAUAAGACUGUACCUGUCGAAUAAGCCACGUCUAACUACGUCCCAGCCGCCGCGGUAAUACGUAGGUGGCAAGCGUUGUCCGGAUGUACUGGGUGUAAAGGGCGUGUAGACGGGUUGACAAGUCAGAGGUGAAAUCCUGCGGCUUAACCGCAGAACUGCAUUGGAAACUGUUGCUCUUGAGUACUGGAGAGGCAGACGGAAUUCCUAGUGUAGCGGUGAAAUGCGUAGAUAUUAGGAGGAACACCAGUGGCGAAGGCGGUCUGCUGGACAGUAACUGACGGUGAGGCGCGAAGGCGUGGGGAGCAAACAGGAUUAGAUACCCGAGUAGUC